UGGGGAAUAUUGCACAAUGGGGGAAACCCUGAUGCAGCGACGCCGCGUGAGUGAGGAAGUAUUUCGGUAUGUAAAGCUCUAUCAGCAGGGAAGAAAAUGACGGUACCUGACUAAGAAGCCCCGGCUAACUACGUGCCAGCAGCCGCGGUAAUACGUAGGGGGCAAGCGUUAUCCGGAUUUACUGGGUGUAAAGGGAGCGUAGACGGAAUAGCAAGUCUGAUGUGAAAACCCGGGGCUCAACUCCGGGAGUGCAUUGGAAACUGUUGAUCUAGAGUGUCGGAGAGGCAAGCGGAAUUCCUAGUG
rnacentral:rRNA from 1 species